UACGUAGGGGGGCAAGCGUUGUCCGGAUUUAUUGGGCGUAAAGAGCGUGUAGGCGGCUAGAUAGGUCCGUUGUGAAAACUCGAGCUCAACCUCGAGACGCCGAUGGAAACCGUUUGGCUAGAGUCCGGAAGAGGAGAGUGGAAUUCCUGGUGUAGCGGUGAAAUGCGCAGAUAUCAGGAAGAACACCCGUGGCUAAGGCGGCUCUCUAGUACGGUACUGACGCUGAGACGCGAAAGCGUGGGGAGCGAACAGG
rnacentral:rRNA from 1 species